rnacentral:rRNA from 1 species
AGCGAACGUUAGCGGCGCGCCUAACACAUGCAAGUCGCACGAGAAACGGAGCAAUCCGCGGUACAGUGGCGCACGGGUGAGUAACACGUGGAUGACCUUCCCUGGAGUGGUGGAUAACCUGCCGAAAGGCGGGCUAAUACAGCAUGGGACCACGACGCUUUGGCGAUGUGGUGAAAGCGGGCCUCUAUAUAUAAGCUCGCGCUCCGGGACGGGUCCGCGUCCCAUCAGCUAGUUGGUGAGGUAACGGCUCACCAAGGCAACGACGGGUAGCUGGUCUGAGAGGAUGGCCAGCCACACUGGAACUGAGACACGGUCCAGACUCCUACGGGAGGCAGCAGUGGGGAAUCUUGCGCAAUGGGCGAAAGCCUGACGCAGCGACGCCGCGUGGGCGAAGAAGGCCU